GUAUAUGUGCUGCCAGGCACUCAAAGACACUGAACUCUCAGCUUGAGGCAGGACUCAGCACAUUCGUGCAGGGGAAUCCAUGCCUCAUGCCGCUCUCCAGUCUGCUCUGGGUGUUCCUGGCCUUCACCUUCUCUGGAUCUGGUGUGGCACAGAACGUUAUUCAAGACCAGCCAGACAUAUCUGGUCAACUGGGACAGUCAGUCACCCUGAACUGUCGGUAUAGAGCAACCUGGAGCUAUUACUACAUGUUUUGGUACAAGCUGCUUCCCAAUGGAGACAUGAUUUACCUUAUUGGUCAGGUUUCUACUGGCCAGAAUGCAAGGGAUGGCCGCUACUCUGUAAAUUUUCAGAAAGCUCGUAAAUCCAUCAGCCUCACCAUUUCAGACUUAGAGCUGGAAGAUUCUGCAGAGUAUUUCUGUGCUCUCUGGGAGCUCACAGUGCUUGAAGACAAGGGGCGACGUUCGUCUUCUGGCUACUUCCUGCUGAACGGAGGUGACGUGGGGGUCAGGGCCGGUUGGGACAAAAGGUCGUCCUGUAGUUCUUUAAUCUUAGUCCGGACUAUUCCAGAGCGGUUGGCAUAG